GCUUUAGCAAAAUCUAAAGCCGAGCGUGGAAACUCGAAUAAACGUACGGCGAACAACAGCACGCCAAUUUAUAACCGUGCUUUUUUU
rnacentral:sRNA from 1 species